rnacentral:rRNA from 1 species
CAGUAGCCGCGGGAAUACAGAGGGUGCAAGCGUUAAUCGGAAUUACUGGGCGUAAAGCGCGCGUAGGUGGUUUGUUAAGUUGGAUGUGAAAUCCCCGGGCUUAACCUGGGAACUGCAUUUGAAACUGGCAGGCUAGAGUCUUGCAGAGGGGGGUAGAAUUCCAGGUGUAGCGGUGAAAUGCGUAGAGAUCUGGAGGAAUACCGGUGGCGAAGGCGGCCCCCUGGACAAAGACUGACGCUCAGGUGCGAAAGCGUGGGGAGCAAACAGGAUUAGAUACCCCGGUAGUCCCUGUCUCUUAUAC